rnacentral:rRNA from 1 species
GAUCCUGGCUCAGAAUCAACGCUGGCGGCGUGCCUAACACAUGCAAGUCGAACGCGAAAGCCCCGCAAGGGGUAAGUAGAGUGGCAAACGGGUGAGUAACACGUGGGUGACCUGCCUUCGAGUGGGGGAUAACGUCCCGAAAGGGACGCUAAUACCGCAUAACAUCCUGCCUUUUAAGAGGUGGACAUCAAAGCUGGGGACCGCAAGGCCUGGCGCUUGAAGAGGGGCCCGCGCCUGAUUAGCUAGUUGGUGGGGUAAUGGCUCACCAAGGCUUCGAUCAGUAUCCGGCCUGAGAGGGCGGACGGACACACUGGGACUGAGACACGGCCCAGACUCCUACGGGAGGCAGCAGUGGGGAAUUGUUCGCAAUGGGCGCAAGCCUGACGACGCAACGCCGCGUGGAGGAUGAAGACCUUCGGGUCGUAAACUCCUUUCGAUCGAGACGAAUGGUCUCCGGGUGAACAGCCUGGGGAAGUGACGGUACCGAGAGAAGAAGCCCCGGCUAACUCCGUGCCAGCAGCCGCGGUAAUACGGGGGGGGCAAGCGUUGUUCGGAAUUACUGGGCGUAAAGGGCUCGUAGGUGGCCAACUAAGUCAGACGUGAAAUCCCUCGGCUUAACCGGGGAACUGCGUCUGAUACUGGAUGGCUUGAGUUCGGGAGAGGGAUGCGGAAUUCCAGGUGUAGCGGUGA